rnacentral:rRNA from 1 species
AGUUCGAAAGGACUGCUAAUACCGAAUGUUGUAGAGUUUCCGCAUGGGAAUCCUACUAAAGAUGGCCUCUACUUGUAAGCUAUCGCUUUACGAUGGGUCUGCGUCUGAUUAGCUAGUUGGUGGGGUAAUGGCCUACCAAGGCGACGAUCAGUAGCCGGUCUGAGAGGAUGAACGGCCACAUUGGAACUGAGACACGGUCCAGACUCCUACGGGAGGCAGCAGUGGGGAAUCUUCCGCAAUGGGCGCAAGCCUGACGGAGCAACGCCGCGUGAGUGAAGAAGGGUUUCGACUCGUAAAGCUCUGUUGUCGGGGACGAAUGUGGAGAUGGUGAAUAACCAUUUCCAAUGACGGUACCUGACGAGGAAGCCACGGCUAACUACGUGCCAGCAGCCGCGGUAAUACGUAGGUGGCGAGCGUUGUCCGGAAUUAUUGGGCGUAAAGGGAGCGCAGGCGGGAAGGUAAGUCUAUCUUAAAAGUGCGGGGCUCAACCCCGUGAGGGGAUGGAAACUAUCUUUCUUGAGUACAGGAGAGGAAAGC